ensembl:snRNA U1 U1 spliceosomal RNA
AUACUUACCUGGCAGGGAUGAUACCAUGAUCAAGUAGGUGGUUCGUCCAAAGUGAGGCUCAGCUAUUGCACUCUGGCUGUUCUGACCUUUGUGAAUUCCCCAAAUGUGGGAAUCUCAACUGCACAAUUUCUGGUAGUGGGGGACUGCGUUCGCGCUCUCCCCCU